UACGUAGGGGGCGAGCGUUGUCCGGAGUUACUGGGCGUAAAGGGCAUGCAGGCGGUCAGGCGCGUUUUUGUGUGACAGCGGAUGGCUUAACUAUCCGAGGAUACGAGAUACGGCGUGACUUGAGAGCGCGAGAGGGACACGGAAUUCCGGGUGGAGUGGUGAAAUGCGUAGAGAUCCGGAGGAACACCGAAGGCGAAGGCAGUGUCCUGGCGCGUAUCUGACGCUGAGGUGCGAAAGCCAGGGGAGCGAACGGG
rnacentral:rRNA from 1 species